rnacentral:rRNA from 1 species
GGCGGGCAUGCCUGUUCGAGCGUCAUUU